GCGUUUUAUGCUCAGCGAUAUGCUUCAUUUUGGACUCAGGGCUCACCUUUACAGACCUACGCUGUGCUUAUUCUCUGUUCUACGACCUCUCUCUACGUCUGUCCCCGAAAUGUCUAAGCCCCAGGUAUUUUUUGACAUCACUUUCGAUGGCAAGUCUGCUGGACGAAUUGUUAUGGAGCUCAGAGCUGAUGUUGUACCAAAGACAGCAGAGAACUUCCGUGCCUUGUGUACUGGCGAGAAGGGAUUCGGCUUCAAAGGAUCGAGCUUCCACAGGAUUAUUACAGGGUUCAUGUGCCAAGGUGGUGACUUCACUCGAGGCAAUGGCACUGGAGGAAAGUCCAUCUAUGGAGAGAAGUUUGCUGAUGAGAACUUUACGCUGAAGCACAAUGGCCCCGGAGAUUUGUCUAUGGCUAAUGCUGGUCCCAACACAAAUGGCUCCCAAUUCUUCAUUUGUGUGGCCAAGACCACAUGGCUUGAUGGCAAGCACGUUGUGUUUGGUAAGGUCAUUAGCGGCUAUGACGAGGUAGUGAAAAAAAUGGAGGCUCUUGGUAGCGAUAGUGGAAAAACAAGCAAGAAAGUGACCAUUGCAGACUGUGGACAACUCUAAAAGAUGAACAGUUGGAUAAACUUUGAGACUUAGUUUUUAAUUGAACACUUGAAUAUGUAGGUGAUUGUGUGCAUGCACAAAAUGAUGUCUAGUAUUGUGACGUUGCGUAGCUAUGACUUCAAUUAUCACUACCUUAUAUGGGCAAA